rnacentral:rRNA from 1 species
UACGUAGGGGGCAAGCGUUGUCCGGAUUUAUUGGGCGUAAAGAGCGUGUAGGCGGCCAGGUAGGUCUGCUGUGAAAACUCGAGGCUCAACCUCGAGACGCCGAUGGAAACCAUCAGACUAGAGUCCGGAAGAGGAGAGUGGAAUUCCUGGUGUAGCGGUGAAAUGCGCAGAUAUCAGGAAGAACACCCGUGGCUAAGGCGGCUCUCUAGUACGGUACUGACGCUGAGGAGCGAAAGCCAGGGGAGCAAACGGG